rnacentral:rRNA from 1 species
UACAGAGGUCUCAAGCGUUGUUCGGAUUCAUUGGGCGUAAAGAGCGUGUAGGCGGCUCGUUAAGUCUUGCGUGAAAUCUCGGGGCUCAACCCCGAGCGGUCGUGAGAAACUGGCAGGCUAGAGUGCGGGAGAGGAGAGUGGAAUUCCUGGUGUAGCGGUGAAGUGCGCAGAUAUCAGGAAGAACACCCGUGGCGAAGGCGGCUCUCUGGAACGCAACUGACGCUGAGACGCGAAAGCGUGGGGAGCAAACGGG